rnacentral:rRNA from 1 species
AUGCCAUGUUCAACCCCGUCUCCGGCGAUUGGCUCCUCGCCCACCUCAGCCGCGUGGUCCUCGACGACGACGCCCUCGCGCUCCUGCUCCUCCGCCUCGACAAGACUCUCUCCAGCCUCUCACUCCACCUCCUCGCACACUCCUGCAGCAAAUGAAAAAUUAUCAUGCGUCAACAACAUGCCAGAAAGAUCGAGGCUGUCCAUAUGUGUGAGGGCAUGCAGUUGCCACUUUGAGGUGGCAGUUUUCUGCUAUAAAUUGCAGCUGAAGCAUGGAAUGUCUUACCAGUGGAUGGUAACGUUGUGA